rnacentral:rRNA from 1 species
UGGGGAAUAUUGGACAAUGGGCGAAAGCCUGAUCCAGCCAUGCCGCGUGUGUGAAGAAGGUCUUCGGAUUGUAAAGCACUUUAAGUUGGGAGGAAGGGCAGUAAGCGAAUACCUUGCUGUUUUGAUGUUACCGACAGAAUAAGCACCGUCUAACUCUGUGCCAGCAGCCGCGGUAAUACAGAGGGUGCAAGCGUUAAUCGGAAUUACUGGGCGUAAAGCGCGCGUAGGUGGUUCGUUAAGUUGAAUGUGAAAGCCCCGGGCUCAACCUGGGAACUGCAUCCAAAGCUGGCGUGCUAGAGGAGGGCAGAGGGUGGUGGAAUUUCCUGUGUAGCGGUGAAAUGCGUAGGAAUAGGAAGGAACACCAGUGGCGAAGGCGACCACCUGGGCACAUACUGACACUGAGGUGCGAAAGCAUGGGGAGCAAACAGG